rnacentral:rRNA from 1 species
UACGUAGGGACCGAGCGUUGUCCGGAUUCAUUGGGCGUAAAGAGCUCGUAGGCGGUCUGUUGCGUCGGCUGUGAAAACCCGAGGCUCAACCUCGGGCCUGCAGCCGAUACGGGCAGACUAGAGUUCGGCAGGGGAGACUGGAAUUCCUGGUGUAGCGGUGAAAUGCGCAGAUAUCAGGAAGAACACCGGUGGCGAAGGCGGGUCUCUGGGCCGAUACUGACGCUGGAGGAGCGGAAAGCCGUGGGGAGCAAACACGG